GAGCCUACGGGGCGCAGCAGUCGGGAAUAUUGCGCAAUGGAGGAAACUCUGACGCAGUGACGCCGCGUAUAGGAAGAAGGUUUUCGGAUUGUAAACUAUUGUCGUGAGGGAAGAAAUUGACAGUACCUCAGGAGGAAGCUCCGGCUAACUAUGUGCCAGCAGCCGCGGUAAUACGUAGGGAGCAAGCGUUAUCCGGAUUUAUUGGGUGUAAAGGGUGCGUAGACGGGAAAACAAGUUGGUUGUGAAAUCCCUCGGCUUAACUGAGGAACUGCAACCAAAACUAUUUUUCUUGA
rnacentral:rRNA from 1 species